rnacentral:lncRNA from 1 species
UCAUGUGUGUGUGUGUGUGUGUGUGUGUGUGUGUGUGUGUGUGUGUGUGCAGGUGCUUAGCGGCGAGGACAAGCGUGUGAGGUACGACCGGGGAGAGGACCUGGACGAGGUGGGCAUGGGGGGAGGCGGCGGCGGGUUCGACCUGUUUGGUGGAGGCGGUGGGCAGCAGUACACGUUCCACCACGGGGGAGGGUUCCCCGGAGGCGGAUUCCCGGUGGCUUCCAGUUCAACUUCGGUUAAAAGCAGGCCAGGCUUCCCUGAUGAUGUCUUAGUUUCUUGUCAUUACUGCUUUAGGAGGGAGAGCUUAACGGCGACAUGUGUUAAUUAU